rnacentral:rRNA from 1 species
GAUGAACGCUGGCGGCGUGCUUAACACAUGCAAGUCGAACGAAGCACUUUAUUUGAUUUCCUUCGGGACUGAUUAUUUUGUGACUGAGUGGCGGACGGGUGAGUAACGCGUGGGUAACCUGCCUUGUACGGGGGGAUAACAGUUGGAAACGGCUGCUAAUACCGCAUAAGCGCACAACAUCGCAUGAUGCAGUGUGAAAAAACUCCGGUGGUAUAAGAUGGACCCGCGUUGGAUUAGCUAGUUGGUGAGGUAACGGCCCACCAAGGCGACGAUCCAUAGCCGACCUGAGAGGGUGACCGGCCACAUUGGGACUGAGACACGGCCCAAACUCCUACGGGAGGCAGCAGUGGGGAAUAUUGCACAAUGGGCGAAAGCCUGAUGCAGCGACGCCGCGUGAGCGAAGAAGUAUUUCGGUAUGUAAAGCUCUAUCAGCAGGGAAGAUAAUGACGGUACCUGACUAAGAAGCACCGGCUAAAUACGUGCCAGCAGCCGCGGUAAUACGUAUGGUGCAAGCGUUAUCCGGAUUUACUGGGUGUAAAGGGAGCGCAGGCGGUGCGGCAAGUCUGAUGUGAAAGCCCGGGGCUCAACCCCGGUACUGCAUUGGAAACUGUCGUACUAGAGUGUCGGAGGGGUAAGCGGAAUUCCUAGUGUAGCGGUGAAAUGCGUAGAUAUUAGGAGGAACACCAGUGGCGAAGGCGGCUUACUGGACGAUAACUGACGCUGAGGCUCGAAAGCGUGGGGAGCAAACAGGAUUAGAUACCCUGGUAGUCCACGCCGUAAAC